rnacentral:pre_miRNA from 1 species
CAAGGGGGGGGGGAAGGUCCCUCAGCCUGGAUUGCGCGAGGGCGCAGGCCAGGUUGAGGGACCCCACUGGUGCACG